CCCUGGCCUUAGUUAGGAUCAGCAGGUAGA
rnacentral:piRNA from 1 species